rnacentral:rRNA from 1 species
UACGGAGGUGGCUAGCGUUAUUCGGAAUUAUUGGGCGUAAAGAGCGCGUAGGCGGCCCGCUAAGUCAAAGGUGAAAUCCCUCGGCUCAACUGAGGAACUGCCUUUGAAACUGUCGGGCUUGAGGCCGGGAGGGGGUAGCGGAAUUCCCAGUGUAGCGGUGAAAUGCGUAGAUAUUGGGAGGAACACCGGUGGCGAAGGCGGCUACCUGGACCGGUUCUGACGCUGAUGCGCGAAAGCGUGGGUAGCAAACAGG